UUCCAGACUCCUACGGGAGGCAGCAGUGGGGAAUAUUGCACAAUGGGGGAAACCCUGAUGCAGCGACGCCGCGUGAGCGAUGAAGUAUUUCGGUAUGUAAAGCUCUAUCAGCAGGGAAGAAAAUGACGGUACCUGACUAAGAAGCCCCGGCUAACUACGUGCCAGCAGCCGCGGUAAUACGUAGGGGGCAAGCGUUAUCCGGAUUUACUGGGUGUAAAGGGAGCGUAGACGGCUGUGCAAGCCAGAUGUGAAAGCCCGGGGCUCAACCCCGGGACUGCAUUUGGAACUGUGUGGCUGGAGUGUCGGAGAGGCAGGCGGAAUUCCUAGUGUAGCGGUGAAAUGCGUAGAUAUUAGGAGGAACACCAGUGGCGAAGGCGGCCUGCUGGACGAUGACUGACGUUGAGGCUCGAAAGCGUGGGGAGCAAACAGGAUUAGAUACCCUGGUAU
rnacentral:rRNA from 1 species